GGACGCCGAAGGUGGGGCUAAUGACUGGGGUGAAGUCGUAACAAGGUAGCCGUACCGGAAGGUGCGGCUGGAUCACCUCCUAACAGGGAGACAACAAAAUGUAAAUAUUAAUUUUGUCACCUUAGGUCGAUCGGUAUCUCAGAUUCUUAUUUUUUUAAGAAUUUCAGUUUCUAAGUUUUUUCUAGGUCACACCCAUCACUUUUCCUGGGCCAUUAGCUCAGGUGGUUAGAGCGCACCCCUGAUAAGGGUGAGGUCCCUGGUUCAAGUCCAGGAUGGCCCAUAUCUCUAUGUUGGGGGUAUAGCUCAGUUGGUAGAGCGCCUGCUUUGCAAGCAGGAUGUCAGCGGUUCGAGUCCGCUUACCUCCACUGAAUACCACCUCUUACAUAUAUUUAAAGAGGGAAAUUGUUUUGAGUCGUGUCCUAAUUUGCUCUGAGCGAAUCUAGCUUCCUAUUUUAUUCUCUAAAUAAGAUGCUGGACUCAUUGAAUUUAUUUCAUUGUUUUCAGAGAACCUUGACAACUGCAUAGAUUAUUUUUGAAGACAAUAAGCAUCUUUAAUGAUGCAGAUUUAUUAUUUGUGCGAAUGCAUUAAAUAACAAUUCUAUUAAGCUGAUGCUUCAAUUAUUGAAGUUAUUGGUCAAGCUACAAAGGGCUCACGGAGGAUAC
rnacentral:misc_RNA from 1 species